ACUCACACAGACAGCCUGUCCCUUGUUCACAUGCCAGGCCAGCAGAGAAGGGGAGCAGCCCUUCUCCUUGCUUCUCAGACUGUCAGAUGCACUCCAGCUCAGGGAGGCAAGCAGCCAGCAUGGGGCUUCCCAUUCCCUCACUAGAGGAGCAUCUGUCCAGCUUCUCUGACAGGCUGCCCACUGUCUCUUGGCUCAGGAGCCAGGGAGACUGGUACCCGAGGAUGGUUGAUGGAAGCUGUGGGGAGGGUGACAGGUAGUGGCCAGCCCCAGUGCCCACAGACAAGCUUUCCGCCCUGACAGCUGACUUUGAUGGCCCAGCCUGGCUAUCCUG
rnacentral:lncRNA from 1 species